AAAUGAAUUGACGGGGGCCCGCACAAGCGGUGGAGCAUGUGGUUCAAUUCGACGCAACGCGAAGAACCUUACCGGGGCUCGAACGGCAAUUGCUACUCCUGGAAACAGGGGAUUCUCUUCGGAGACGGUUGUCGAGGUGCUGCAUGGCUGUCGUCAGCUCGUGUCGUGAGAUGUUGGGUUAAGUCCCGCAACGAGCGCAACCCUUGCCCUUAGUUGCGACCAGGUUAAGCUGAGCACCCUAAGGGAACUGUCGGCGAAAAGCCGGAGGAAGGUGGGGAUGACGUCAAGUCCUCAUGGCCCUUACGUCCCGGGCUACACACGUGCUACAAUGGUCGGUACAAAGGGUUGCCAACCCGCGAGGGGGAGCUAAUCCCAAAAACCCGACCCCAGUUCGGAUUGCAGUCUGCAACUCGACUGCAUGAAGGCGGAAUCGCUAGUAAUCGCAGAUCAGCGCGCUGCGGUGAAUACGUUCCCGGGCCUUGUACACACCGCCCGU
rnacentral:rRNA from 1 species